AGUUCGGGAAUCCCAUUUUCUAUUUUUAAAAUCUUACUCUUUUGCUAUGACUGGAGAGUAUUUAUUGUCCUUGGAUCUUGCGCGUCUAAACGUCUAAGAUUUGAUAAACAAACUAGGUAAUACGCCUUUUAGAUUAUAGUUUAUUUUAUCUACAUAUGUUAAUAUAUUGAUAUGUAAAUGUUAAUUGCAAAAAACAUUAAAGGUAACAUUUAAUAGAAUAAUUUAACUUUUUAAAAACAAAAAGCAUUGAUAAAAUGUUGUUACGAAAACUCACUGGUAUGUCAUGUAAUAUUUCCUUGAGAUUUAAUGAAUUGCCACUAGAAAAAAGUAAAUUAUACUUUGAUGGCAUUUUCAGAUGAGGUUAUGAAAUCAAGUCG